rnacentral:tRNA from 1 species
GGAGAGGUCGCCUAGCGGCCGAGGGCGCGCGCCUGGAGAGCGCGUAGACGAGAGUCUCGUGGGUUCGAAUCCCACCCUCUCCGCCA